rnacentral:lncRNA from 1 species
UAACUGCACUUCUCUCAUACAACCCUUAGAGAAAGGGGUUAUUAAAAGCUUUAAAUGCUGUUACCGCCGUCGAUUGAUACAAAAGGUGCUCCUGGACAUCUGCCUUGAAUGGCCGACAAAAAUGGAUAUCUCCCAAGCAAUCCAAAUGCUUGCUGCGUUGUGGCGAGAGGCCAUUCAAGCUACAGUCCCUGAAGAUGAACCUUCAAGCCCACUGUUGUAUUUAGUUUCGUUAUUCAUUUGAGUUCUUUAUUCCUCAGGGGGCACUUCUGUUCUUCGUUAUAUAUAUGGCUGUAUAUGUUGAAUAAAGGGCUUUUUACAUCGGGA